rnacentral:rRNA from 1 species
CAUGAGUCCGCAUGUUCACAUGAUUAAAGGUAUUCCGGUAGACGAUGGGGAUGCGUUCCAUUAGAUAGUAGGCGGGGUAACGGCCCACCUAGUCUUCGAUGGAUAGGAGUUCUGAGAGGAAGGUCCCCCACAUUGGAACUGAGACACGGUCCAAACUCCUACGGGAGGCAGCAGUGAGGAAUAUUGGUCAAUGGGCGAGAGCCUGAACCAGCCAAGUAGCGUGAAGGAUGACUGCCCUAUGGGUUGUAAACUUCUUUUAUAAAGGAAUAAAGUCGGGUAUGGAUACCCGUUUGCAUGUACUUUAUGAAUAAGGAUCGGCUAACUCCGUGCCAGCAGCCGCGGUAAUACGGAGGAUCCGAGCGUUAUCCGGAUUUAUUGGGUUUAAAGGGAGCGUAGAUGGAUGUUUAAGUCAGUUGUGAAAGUUUGCGGCUCAACCGUAAAAUUGCGGUUGAUACUGGAUAUCUUGAGUGCAGUUGAGGCAGGCGGAAUUCGUGGUGUAGCGGUGAAAUGCUUAGAUAUCACGAAGAACUCCGAUUGCGAAGGCAGCCUGCUAAGCUGCAACUGACAUUGAGGCUCGAAAGUGUGGGUAUCAAACAGGAUUAGAUACCCUGGUAGUCCACACGG